rnacentral:rRNA from 1 species
CGGCUAUUUAAGUCAGUGGUGAAAGACUCCGGCUCAACCGGAGCAGUGCCAUUGAUACUGGAUAGCUUGAGUAUUGGAGGGGUACAUGGAAUUGAUGGUGUAGCGGUGAAAUGCAUAGAUACCAUAAGGAACACCGAUAGCGAAGGCAUUGUACUGGCCAAUAACUGACGCUGAUGCACGAAAGCAUGGGUAGCGAACAGGAUUAGA